rnacentral:rRNA from 1 species
CCUACGGGGGGCAGCAGUGGGGGAUAUUGCACAAUGGGGGGAACCCUGAUGCAGCGACGCCGCGUGGGGGAAGAAGCGCCUCGGCGCGUAAAGCCCUGUCAGCAGGGAAGAAAAUGACGGUACCUGAAGAAGAAGCCCUGGCUAACGACGUGCCAGCAGCCGCGGGAAUACGUAGGGGGCAAGCGUUAUCCGGAUUUACUGGGGGGAAAGGGGGCGCAGACGGCGAUGCAAGCCAGGUGUGAAAGCCCGGGGCCCAACCCCGGGACUGCUGUUGGAACUGCGGUGCUGGAGUGCAGGAGGGGUAGGCGGAAUUCCUGGUGUAGCGGUGAAAUGCGUAGAUAUCAGGAGGAACACCGGUGGCGAAGGCGGCCUGCUGGCCUGCAACUGACGUUGAGGCACGAAAGCGUGGGGAGCAAACAGGAUUAGAUACCCUGGUAGUC